UACGAAGGGGGCUAGCGUUGUUCGGAAUUACUGGGCGUAAAGCGCACGUAGGCGGACAUUUAAGUCAGGGGUGAAAUCCCGGGGCUCAACCCCGGAACUGCCUUUGAUACUGGAUGUCUUGAGUGUGGUAGAGGUGAGUGGAAUUGCGAGUGUAAGAGGUGAAAUUCGUAGAUAUUCGCAGGAACACCAGUGGCGAAGGCGGCUCACUGGACCACAACUGACGCUGAGGUGCGAAAGCGUGGGGGAGCAAACAGG
rnacentral:rRNA from 1 species